GAUGAAGAACGUAGCGAAAUGCGAUAAGUAAUGUGAAUUGCAGAAUUCAGUGAAUCAUCGAAUUUUUGAACGCACAUUGCGCCCCUUGGUAUUCCGAGGGGCAUGCCUGUUCGAGCGUCAUUUCAACCCUCAAGCGCAGCUUGGUCUUGGGCUUCGCCGCUAACCCGGCGGGUCUUAAAAUCAGUGGCGGUGCCGUCGGGCCCUGAGCGCAGUAAUCUCUCUCGCUAUAGGGUCUCGGCGGAUGCUGGCCAGUAACCCCCAAUUUUCUAUGGUUGACCUCGGAUCAGGUAGGGAUACCCGCUGAACUUAAGCAUAUCAAUAAGCGGAGGA
rnacentral:misc_RNA from 1 species